GUGCAGCAGGCGAGAAUUUUUCUCAAUGGGGGCAACCCUGAAGGAGCGACGCCGCGUGGAGGAUGAAGGCUUUCGGGUUGUAAACUCCUGUCAUUUGAGAACAAGUGCCAACAAGUAACUGCUGUUGGCUUGAUAGUAUCAGAAGAGGAAGGGACGGCUAACUCUGUGCCAGCAGCCGCGGUAAUACAGAGGUCCCAAGCGUUGUUCGGAUUCAUUGGGCGUAAAGGGUGCGUAGGUGGCGUGGUAAGUCGGGUGUGAAAUUUCGGAGCUUAACUCCGAAACUGCAUUCGAUACUGCCGUGCUUGAGGACUGGAGAGGAGACUGGAAUUUACGGUGUAGCAGUGAAAUGCGUAGAGAUCGUAAGGGAGACCAGUGGCGAAGGCGGGUCCCUGGACAGUUCCUGACACUGAGGCACGAAGGCCAGGGGAGCAAACGGGAUUAGAUACCCGCGUAGU
rnacentral:rRNA from 1 species